rnacentral:rRNA from 1 species
UACGUAGGGGGCAAGCGUUGUCCGGAAUUAUUGGGCGUAAAGAGCUCGUAGGCGGCCUGUCGCGUCGGCUGUGAAAACCCGGGGCUCAACCCCGGGCCUGCAGUCGAUACGGGCAGGCUAGAGUCCGGCAGGGGAGACUGGAAUUCCUGGUGUAGCGGUGAAAUGCGCAGAUAUCAGGAGGAACACCGGUGGCGAAGGCGGGUCUCUGGGCCGGAACUGACGCUAAGGAGCGAAAGCGUGGGGAGCGAACAGG